UAGGUGGAACCUGCGGAAGGAUCAUUA
rnacentral:ncRNA from 2 species